rnacentral:misc_RNA from 1 species
GUUUCAUUCAUAAGUUUUACAGCGUGCUACUGUUGGCCACAAAAGUGAAAGAAAAACAAAGCAAAUUAAAGAGCAAUAGAAAUGGCUGCAAGGACACCAACAGGAGGAUUAACUGCUAUUCAGUAUGAGGAUUUUAAGCCCAAAUCCGAAUUUAAGGAAGAAGAAGGAGCUAAUAUAUUACUUUUACAUCUUCCUGCUGAUUUUCAUAAGGAGCAAAUCAAGAUCAAGUACGUGCGUUCGUCGAGUUCGAUAAGAGUUGUUGGUGAGCGACCGAUCAGUGGUAACAAAUGGAGUAGGUUCAACGAAGCAUUUCCUGUUUCUCAAAAUUGUGAUGUGCAGACAAUUCAGGCCAAGCUCCUAAAUGGAGUUCUUACCAUUACAAUGCCAAAACCCACCAUCGAGCAACCUCCAAUCCCUCAGAAACCUAUUUCCACAAGCACUGGUAAUGAAGGAAAGGAUAAGACACCGACUCCUCUGGAAGCCAGAACAGAGGAGAAGAUGAAAAAGCAAACAGAUGGUAAAUUUGAACAGAAGCCAAAGGAAGAUUUCUUUGCUGAGAAAGUGAAGGAUGUGAAGAAUGCGGCUGCUGAUGCAAAGAAGAUUGUGAUGGAGCUGAAAGAAGAGAGGCAAUCUCUGGUGAAUAUAGGUGUGGCAGUUUUAGUGAUUGCAGCACUUGGAACUUAUAUCUAUUACACCUUUGGAUCAUCCAGAAAUUCCAAGGACUAGUAUAUAUAUAUCCAGAAAUUUUAUAUUAUCAAGUUAUUUGUUUAAUGAUAAAGAGCCUCAUGGCAAUUCA